AGAGUAGUAGGUUGCAUAGUA
rnacentral:miRNA from 1 species